rnacentral:rRNA from 1 species
AGUGAACGCUGGCGGUAGGCCUAACACAUGCAAGUCGAACGGCAGCACAGUAAGAGCUUGCUCUUACGGGUGGCGAGUGGCGGACGGGUGAGGAAUACAUCGGAAUCUACUUUUUCGUGGGGGAUAACGUAGGGAAACUUCCCUAAUACCGCAUUCCAACUAAGGGGGGAAACAAGGGAUCUUUGGGCCUUUCCCGAUUUAAAUAGGCGAUGUCGGAUUAGCUAGUUGGCGGGGUAAAGGCCCACCAAGGCGACGAUCCGUAGCUGGUCUGAGAGGAUGAUCAGCCACACUGGAACUGAGACACGGUCCAGACUCCUACGGGAGGCAGCAGUGGGGAAUAUUGGACAAUAGGCGCAAGCCUGAUCCAGCCAUACCGCGUGGGUGAAGAAGGCCUUCGGGUUGUAAAGCCCUUUUGUUGGGAAAGAAAAGCAGCAGGUUAAUACCCCGCUGUUCUGACGGUACCCAAAGAAUAAGCACCGGCUAACUUCGUG